AAGUGCGAACACCAUCUGUCUCCCCCAACUCCGUCAGCGCUUCCAGUCCCCAGGCAGCUUCGUUCUUCCUAAUUACUGUCAUUAGGCGCUGGGUAGCAAUUAGGGAGGGAUGCUGAUGAGCAGCAUCAGGAAGGCUGUGGUCCCCUGACAGCAUCGCACAGGGAGCCGGCCAGCCCUUUCUCUCCGACCCUGGCCUUUUCCACCUGGGGAGCUUGGGUACCUGGCUGUGGAGGAGGUUCCCAUGAGUGCUGGUGGAUGCCUGCCACUGUGUGAGAGAGCCCAGAGGGUGGAAAGACCUGGGUAUCACAGAGUGCAGAAGACAGGGAAGCAGGACUGUAAAUAGAGCAGAUGCUGGGUGUGCCUUGCUUCAUGCAGCCUCAAGUCUCCUUUUAUUGAGGCCAGGAAGACACAGAUGGCAGCCAGAACCAGGAUGAACCCCACCACUACCGGGAGCCCGAAAAUCAGGAAGGUGCUGGUCACGGUCUUCCCUGCCCUCGUCCCAACUCAUCUACCUCCUCCUGGGCCAAGAAGAUAUGUUUGAACUUACACAUGAUAAUGCUUUCUCAAGGAGAAAACCAGUGCUGACUACCCCAGCAGCAGUCACAUGUGGGCCUGCUCAUGGGCACGGCCCAGGUUCUGGGCAUCAGUUGUCUCCCUUUUCAUCUCCCCCAUCUUUGCCUCCCCUACCCUUUAUAACUGUGGUUGAUCCUUUUUGGAAUAGCAAAAGUUAAAGCUUGGUGAGUAGUUUGAGCUGUUUGCAUCUCAAAGCUGAAUACGCUUGAUAAUCACACAAAUGCAUAAUUAAAGAGCAGAAAAAAUGACUCACUGGAUAAGGAAAUGCGCUUUUCUUAUCUCUUCUGCAGAGAAAUGAAAACCCCAGGAGCCUGGGUCUCUGGCUAAGUCCUUUUAUUAAACAAAUAAACCAGAAAAGAUAUCAAA